rnacentral:ncRNA from 1 species
GUUGUGUGCUGCUGUACCGUACAUCCGCCUUGGCCGUACAGCAGUAUUAGGACUGACAGAUUGAAAGCUCUUUCUCGAUUUGGUGGUUGGUGGUGCAUGGCCGUUCUUAGUUGGUGGAGUGAUUUGUCUGGUUUAUUCCGAUAACGAGCGAGACUCUAGCCUGCUAAAUGUCGACGAAUCUUCGGGUUCGUAUAACUUCUUAGAGGGAUAAGCGGUGUUUAGCCGCACGAGAUUGAGCGAUAACAGGUCUGUGAUGCCCUUAGAUGUCCGGGCUGCACGCGUGCUAC